AAACGGUGGCUAAUACCGCAUAACGUCGCAAGACCAAAGAGGGGGACCUUCGGGCCUCUUGCCAUCAGAUGUGCCCAGAUGGGAUUAGCUUGUUGGUGAGGUAACGGCUCACCAAGGCGACGAUCCCUAGCUGGUCUGAGAGGAUGACCAGCCACACUGGAACUGAGACACGGUCCAGACUCCUACGGGAGGCAGCAGUGGGGAAUAUUGCACAAUGGGCGCAAGCCUGAUGCAGCCAUGCCGCGUGUAUGAAGAAGGCCUUCGGGUUGUAAAGUACUUUCAGCGGGGAGGAAGGUGUUGUGGUUAAUAACCGCAGCAAUUGACGUUACCCGCAGAAGAAGCACCGGCUAACUCCGUGCCAGCAGCCGCGGUAAUACGGAGGGUGCAAGCGUUAAUCGGAAUUACUGGGCGUAAAGCGCACGCAGGCGGUCUGUCAAGUCGGAUGUGAAAUCCCCGGGCUCAACCUGGGAACUGCAUUCGAAACUGGCAGGCUUGAGUCUUGUAGAGGGGGGUAGAAUUCCAGGUGUAGCGGUGAAAUGCGUAGAGAUCUGGAGGAAUACCGGUGGCGAAGGCGGCCCCCUGGACAAAGACUGACGCUCAGGUGCGAAAGCGUGGGGAGCAAACAGGAUUAGAUACCCUGGUAGUCCACGCCGUAAACGAUGUCUACUUGGAGGUUGUGCCCUUGAGGCGUGGCUUCCGGAGCUAACGCGUUAAGUAGACCGCCUGGGGAGUACGGCCGCAAGGUUAAAACUCAAAUGAAUUGACGGGGGCCCGCACAAGCGGUGGAGCAUGUGGUUUAAUUCGAUGCAACGCGAAGAACCUUACCUGGUCUUGACAUCCACAGAAGAAUCCAGAGAUGGAUUGGUGCCUUCGGGAACUGUGAGACAGGUGCUGCAUGGCUGUCGUCAGCUCGUGUUGUGAAAUGUUGGGUUAAGUCCCGCAACGAGCGCAAC
rnacentral:rRNA from 1 species